UCCCUGGGUACCACGAUUUAGGCCCGUUCUGGCCCACGCUCCUAAAGCCGGGCGGAACGGUGCCCCGGCGGGGUUCUGGGCCACGCCGCACCCGCGUGGGCUGCGCUGCGCGGCCGCGGGGUGACUCCCUGUUCUCCUCGCUUCCAGGGCAGGAAGCCAAGGCCGCUGGGAUGAAAGGGAACAGCCGAGGAAGCGAGUUGGUCUUGCUCGUCCUGCUUGGGGGAGCUAUGGGGCUGAUGCUUGCUCAAGCUUUAUAGAGUUAAAUGCGCGGACCGCCUCUGGAGGGCUUGGGACUUUGCAUGUUUCUGCUCCUGUGCUGAGGAAGGUGCUGCUGCUCGAAUGCCUGCAUUCCCUGCUACCAGCUCAUCGUCUUCCAUCUUUUUUUCGUUCUGGCUCAGUGUUUUGCCUGAAAGAUUUCUCACUCUGUGUGACUUUGUAGCUUGACAUUUUUAGUCCUGAGGCUGGGAGGAGGAAGGAGGGCAAAGAAAAGGUGACACAACUGUUGCUGCUCUGGAAGCUAUUUGAAACGUAUCAUCACUUUUUGAUCUUCAGCAAAAAAAAAGGCCCUGUGAAAAAAUAUUUAAUAUUCUCAAAUUGGAAACUUGUUUAUCUUAUAGCAGGGUUUAUUUUUCGGUGUGUUCAUCCUUUUGAGCCUCUCUCCCAAACCCCACUCUGCUGUCCUGUACUUGCCACAUGGCCUCUGCGGGAUGCUCUUGCCUUCCUCAUUUGCACCUUUCUGUUCCAGUGCCGUGUGAAGUGAGUGACUUGGCUAAUGAUUGACUGAUAUGUUUGCCUGGCUGCCCUUCCUGUGAAGUCAGAGGUAGCCCCCCUCUUUGUCUGGAUACCCACUGUCCUUGGGGACAGGCAGAGAGAAGAGGGGUGUCUGGUACCUGAGCUGCUGCCGGUCUUGCCGUGGUGGUUGAGACGUCACCCCUCUGCUGCCUGCCCCAUCUCCCCGACUGAUGUCAGCACUCCCUUAGCAGAGCUGGUAGGACAAGAUGUGUGUCCACAUCUCAGCCUGGCAUCUUACCUCAAGCCUUCAUUGAAACUCAGGCUGGCGGCAACUGGAAGAGGCAGGUGUGGGCAGGAACGUCCCUGGCUGCCACCAAGACUCACGCUUAUUCACCUGUGAGCAUCAUCCCGGGAGAGCGUCACUGCGAUGCCACACAUGGGGGGGUCCCUGCUGGCAGGUUUUAAGGGAACCAGCUUCAGCUCGAGGUAGAUGGCUGCAAGUUUAAGAGAUACUUCUGUCCAUCCUCAGGCAUUGGGGCUAACAGCCGAAGCACGCUGAGUGUGAGGUUAAAAAUUUCUAGACACUUGUUCAUCUUUUAAUCUCACGUCUCUUUUGCUUGCAAAAUCUCAUUUCUUAGAAUAUGAAAGACUUAGAUUUCUAAUGUAAAAAAGUAUUGAUGUGAUUUAUAUUUAAUUAUCCUUUUUUUUUAAUAAUGAUUCCACUUUACUGCAUCUAUAAGUCACGUGGAAUAAGAAAGGCUGUUAGAAACGUGGAAGUAUAGUAUCCCAUGCCUUGACUCUCAGCCAGCGGUAGACUGCCUUAUCACAUAUUCUGUCAUUAUUACCUCCAUCAAACAAAGUUUUGUCAGCUGUGAACCAGAGAGAGAAAAGUCCGUAAUUUGACCAUAAAAUCUGCUGAGGUGGAAAAUAUUUGCUUAACUCUCAUAUAAUGCAUGGGUGGAGGAAAUGGGCAUUAUUACUGUAGCUCAGCUACCAAUGGUGUCGUAUGAAAUGCUGCAGUCCUGGCUACCACUUACAAAUCAAGAUAACUGGUAUUGUUUACCCUACCAGAACAGGAAAAGUGUUGUUGGAAAUCCUGAAAUACUACAUGCCAUUAAUUUCUGGAAUGAGCCAUCUGAACACGUUGUAUUUGCGCUCUUUUGGGGAAUAAGCAGGCCCUAUGUAAAUAUACGUUGCUGCCAAAGGGCAUUUUACCCAAGUAACGAUUGUAAAUUAAUCCAAUUAGAUGGGACUCAAGUUGCGAGAAGCUGAAGUUCCCAGGAAGCCCUCCAGCUUUCCACCUUCUCCUGUCCAUAGGGAUGACUGGCCCUUCAAACUGGAUGGCUUUCUUUGGCCUGUUGGUAUUCAUUUUCAUGGAAACCUAUAUUAGGUUUUUUAGUUUGAUAUGAAAAUAGUGGCUUGACUUCACUGUGGUUAGUGGCUUGACGUAAGGAUGUCUUUUGUGGGACUGUUCUCUUAAACUUACAGGUUUUUCAUCUGAACAUGCACGGGGUCAAAGCUGACAAUUUUCCCUUGAAAUGAGGGGUGUGAUACCUUCUUUAAACCUGCCUGUUUGUCAUAUUUAGCUUUUGCGUCCACCUCCUACAUCCUGACAGCAACCGGGGAACAGCAUGAGAGGUUCCUGUUCCCGGUGCUGGUCAGCGUUUCCUCGCUGGAAGCAACUCUGCCGCUCUUGAAGAGAGCGGUUUCCCUGCUGACGGGCCAGCCUGUUACAUCAACUGCUCUCCGAACAGUAGCUGACAGCGCUAAUCUGCAUUACAUGGGAUUAAACAGGCACAGUAAUUAACUUGCAUAAGCGCUUUAGCAACUUUUGGCCUUUGAAUUGCAGCGUGUCCUGUAUAUUGUGGUGCGGAGCCUCCGUAAGGUGGGGACAGCACGGUGGGAAGUUGGGGAGAAGAAAACGAAGCUGAAAUUUCAGCCGCAAACAGUAAGAAAGAGAGAGGAAGCGCACACAGCCAAGCUGAAAUAGCCAUUGUCAUUUUUUGAGGAGUCAAGACUCAGGGUCCUCUUGCAAGCCUCACAGGAAUGUGUUCUCAAGACCUUUUUGCCUUUCAGGAAGUGUUGUCUUCGGAGACUGGAUGUUUCAGAGCAAAGCACUUGAAGUUUUCUCAUCACCCAGAUACUCCCAUACCACUCCAGAUGUCUUAGGAACCGUUGAGAAAAUGCAUACCGCUGAAGUAAACAGAAACCUUAGGUACGAUGGACUUCAGCGCUACGCCACAAACCCUAUGGGAAUGAAGCACUUCAGAGAGUCCUAGUUCAGUCUUGAAAACUCGUAGUAACCUUGGGAGAAGUUACUUGCGCCAAUGGAUAAUCAGCUCAAGAGGAUUCCACUUAUAGGUACUGACAGUGCAACAACUUCCUUCAUGCAUUUAAAACCAAAUUCAAAUGGGAAAAUUGAUCUUCUGCUGGCUUCUUAGUCCUUUUAACCAGGUAAAAGGGGGUCUUAUCCAGUAGUCUGAAUGUGGUCCACAAGUCAGGACAGUGGGUUGGCAAACAGGGAACGGGUUCACAAAGGGCUGACCGUUUUGUAAUAAACAAAUCAGAGUUCAUUAAUUGAUUGCCUUGGGAUUCAGACCGGGCCCUCGUCCUCUGUGCCUCGGUUUACCUCUUUGGCCACAGCAUCAUUACUGCUUCCCAGGUGUCUACUGCUGCAAACUGCUAAAGUGUAGCUAGGUACCAAAGCCUGCUGGCACUCACUGGAGGGUACGGCUGUGUCACAGGCUGCUCCCCCUGCGGCACCUGGGACCCCCACUUCUAAUAACUGAUCUGUACAAACACUGGUAUAAAGAGUAGAAGAGAAUAAGGUACUUUAGUGGCCCGACCCCAGCAAACGCUAGAUUUCCUUGUGUCUCAAAAUCCAGUGCUGAAAACCUGCCCCUCGCUGCAAGGUGAGUAGCCCUACCAAGAGUAUCUUGAGAAGCUCAUCUCCCUCUGAAGAAAGCCACUCGUGGGUGUGAAAAGCUCUGAUUUUUAUCAGUCUGGGCAUGCUGUCAGUGGAGGUAAAACUAGUAAGUGAUAUUGUCACCAACUUGGGUCUUCUUUUUUAAGCGUUGAAGUUUACCUUCACAGAAGAGACAGUUCCUAGAUUCCUCCUUUAGACAAUAAUUUUUGUUUUAAAAGCUGGUGUAAACUCCAUAAUUGAUCUUUUCUAUAAGAGAUGGGAAAAUGAAACGGACACAUUAUUUAUAGUGAAACCAUUAGUAAAAAACAAAGUAUGUAAGAAAAUGAUCCACACUUGAACGAACAAAACCCAAAGUAUGAAUGUAACAACAUAAAAUUACUUUGAAGUUCAACUAAUUCUUUUACGAACUGGAAUCCUAAACCCCAUGUCUUGUUCCUACAAGAAUCUCUUCACCUGAUUUUGUAUGACGAUAGCCUGGCACUCUAAACCUUUGGGAAAAAGGUUACUGGUUUGGAUACCUGCAUGGAAAUCCCCAGUUUAAAAAAUGUUUAUUACACUAUUUGUUUACAGUCCUUCACAGCAGCAGCUGGAUAUUACUGUUGACAUACUUAAUAUUUAUAUGGUAUUACUACCAAUUUUGCUAACAUCGUACGUGAUGUAUCCUUUUCAGUAUUGGAAGUAUUCUUCUAAUAUUGCUUGACUAUAUUGCUAUGUUUGCUAUGUAGGAUUUCACAGUGCAAGGUGGUAAGAGGUAGAAAAAAUAGAGAAGAGCCUGAAAUUGGCUCUUUCCAUGUACAAUUGCUAAUCGCAUGCCAUUGUACUUUUUGCACAGUUGCAUCAAAACCCAUCUGAUUCUGCUUCCAAUGAAGGUUUGUAUUGCAGGGCCCUUGUGACACCUUCGGAUACAAAUGCAGCUUCUUUGCUUAAGCCAAAGUGGUAUUUGUAAAAGGGCGUAAUUUUAGCUGUGUGCUGAGAUUUAAGAUGCUCCUCGAAGGCGAGGCUGUCGGGUACGAUGUUUUCAGCUUCAUUCACAAUUCCUGCUCACCUUGAUGCCGCUCCUGACCCUAUCUACGCAACAGGAGGGCUGCUGCGCCCCGUGGUGGCUGAGAAGCAGCCAGGCACAGCCUCCCCAGCAUGGCCUAUCUACAAAGGCAUCCAGAUCGCACUUGCGAUGGUGGUGUCCCACUGAAGUCACCUGCUGCUCACAGUCAACGGGUGGAGUGAGAACGGGGCUGAACCAGGCACUGACAUCAAUGGGCAGUGGUCGCAAUGGGUUACGGAGACUGAUUGGCUUUACUUAAUCUGUGAGAAGGCAAAACCAGCUGUCAUCGGGGAGUGCAGGUGGACAGCUGUGUUUUUAAUCGCUUGUAUUAAAACAAUAUAUGAAAAUGAAUUGGAGUGUAAGGUACAGCCGGCCCCAGCCCCGGUUCCUGGGCUCCACCAUGACCGCCUGCUGGCUUGUUCCCUCUCCAGCCCUGACUGCACAGGCAGAUUUGAUUCCUCCUCCGUUUUAAGCUGUAGCCUUGAUUGCACGUGAAAGCUGCACUCUUGGCCACUGUCCAGAGCUGUAACUCACUUGCCAGAACUUAUUAAAAACCCACCAGCUGACCCUCUGUAUCGUUUGAUCUUUCCUCUGAUCGCGAACGGUACAGAGGUACAUUUUUAAUGCACCAGGACUGACGUUUGGUGUAACGCCAAUGCUGCUAUGGUUUUUCAUUAUUACUUGGGAUAACUUUCAAUUAAAUUUGCAACAGAAAAAUAGCUUUCCAUUGUGUGUUCAUUGCCAAUACAUUUGAAUUUAUCAGGUAUUGAAAUAAAUGGUAUUUUAAAAAAGCAGGCAGAGCUUAGGUAAAACAUGAUUUCCCUACAGCACAGUUAGCUAGAUCUUCUAUUUUAAUAAUUUAUAAACAUUUGAAAUAAAAAGAAUUAGAACCUAAUGUCCAGGUCCUGUUAAUGUUUGAAAAGGGCUUUGCAGCCACCACUAAGUUUUGGUUAGGGGCUCGCAGCAAAGGAGCUACAAUGGAUGGGAGAUGUAAAAAGUUAAUUAAUGAGUAAAUAAGCAGUUCCACAUACAUGUACUUCUAUACAUAUGUGUGCAUGUAUGUAAUAAAAUGGUAGAACUUUCUGUAGCUAAGUUCCACCCCUCUUAGAAACUUUGAGUGAUGGCUUUUCUUUUCAUGAGCUUUCUUAGUUCUCUUGUAAAGCACUUGAAGUCUAACUCACUGGUGUAUAAAGCAAUCUGAGGGUUGUCAUUGCUCUACUAUACCCCAGAUCAAAUUAAUAGUGAAGGGAAGGGUUUUGUGUUUUAAAUGUCCAUUAGUUCCAUAAGCACUCUCAUCAUCAGUCCUAGGCUUGUUCCACCUUUUUACAUGAAGUGCAUACCUGAAUUCUCAGAAGUAUUGUGCUUAGUACAGCAAUAUUGAUGAAAUUAAGUGAAAUCUUUCAAAAUGUAUAUAUAUACAAAAUUCACCUGGAUUUCUGUUCUGGUCAGAUUCUUCAAAAGUUUCCUUGUUCAUCACCAAUUUCAAACAAAUCUUUGCAACUAAAGAAAUUGGCACAAAGAACUAGAGAGGAGUCUGGAUGGGAGUUUUCUGGGUUUUAAGUUGAAGAGUGCAAAUCUGGAACCUGACUUCACGGCUGAAGCCCAGUUGAAUGCGGUGAUCCAAUGCCGUGAUUUCAGCUGCUUUCAGAUCAUUCCCCUCAAAUAAAAGCAAGUGAAUGAGGACUGAACAAAUGAAUUCAGCGAGGCUAAAUCGUGGCCUUAAUUACAUGCAAUGUAAGGUAAUAGUCUUAGGCUGUGACGGCAGGUUGCUGCUGGUAUUCUUGCGCUCACCUGUUGCUCGUGCCCCUCCCCGGGGGGGACCUCCAUUUUGUUUAUUUCCUAAAGUGAAUCAUUUCAGAAAUCUGGCGGAGAAGACGGACAUACCCAGAGUGAGCUGGAGGAGCUGAGGGGGUUCACCGGGGCUGAGGGCACAGCAGCUGAGAGGGGGGCUCGGGGUGAGCGUCCCUUGCUGGAGGAGAUGCUCGGUGGAGCUGCAGCCUCAGAUGUGGGCCAGUAAAGCUGCAAGGAAGCUGAGGAGCGCUACCAUGGAUGUCAAUAAGACAUGAGUGUCACCCCUGGAUCUGCACCUGCCUGAACUCCAGAGAUGGGACUUAAAAUAACUGGCUUUGGGGAGCAGCAGUGCCUCCGCUGAUCCCGGUGAGAAGUGUCCUCCUGCCAACACUGUCUGCAGGUCCCAGAAUUACCACUGAGAAUGACAUCAAAGGCCCACUAUCCCAUCUUUUCUGUCACCCAUUGAAGGACUGAAUGAAAAUCAACAGCAAGAGCUGCUCUGAGCCACCAAGACCUGGAGAACCGGACUCGGUUUUAACUCCCCUCCCUGUGUCAUUUCAGCACAAGCGGUCAGCCACCGGUUAGCCGAGCUAAGGGGCAGGGAGUGCAGGCCUUGAGAGGUGAUCGUUAAACCUGUCAUGAAGAGGGGCUAUUACCACAACUAGUGCCGAGGAGAUGGAUACAGACGCAUGAACUUCCCAUUGUUUUUUAAAUAUAUCUGGCUUUCUGCGGAUAACCACUUGUUUGUCAGUUCAGGACAUCUAUAACUAGCUCUUACUGUCACAUUUUGAAAUUUUAGCUUGUGAUGGAAAAAUAAAAGCACGUAGGGGGAGGUGUCACUAAAAGCAAGUGAUGAAUCCUGGUACUGUCAGCAUUUCGGAUGGCGUGAACACGUCUCCAUGCACUCAAGAGCUAGUAAUCUGUAUCCUUGUUACUCAUCAUCAUGUGUCUAACCAUAACUAUGUUUUUAGUUACAUGGCAGCAGAAGUAUGCAUGUUGUUUUCCAAGUAUGAAAAGGCCUUUUCCUUGUGGCUGGAGUCUCCCAUGCUAAUUUGCCAGCCUCUAAACUUUGAUCCUAGUCUAGUGCAACUGCUGUAAGAUCAAGGGCUGUGUUCCAUGUACCACAAGCGAUGAACAUGGAGAAAAAGGGCAAAGGUGAUGCGGAGCAGGGGUUACAGCAGCUGAGUCGGAGCAUGUGAGUUAUGUCCUGGGAACAGCCUGCUCCAGAUAAAUUUGUACGUGAGGACUAGAGUUCUUGCAGGAAGGGAAAAAUUAGAAUUUUCAGGGGACCCAAAAGUUUAGUUCAACAGGAGGAUGACCUGCAUGUUGGCCUCUCCUUCCCUGGCACCAGUUUUGUUGUGCUCUUUUAAAACUGCUGUCAUUGAAAUACAACACCUUCCUCUUGAAAUGUUAGUGGCAGCUCUCCUGCCUGCGUUUCCAGCUGGGCACAGCUGGGCUGCUCCGCACCUGGCUCUUCAAAUGUGACUUCUUUGGGACUUAUGUUAGCCAAGUCCCAUGAUAUCAUAGCAUAUAUGUAUUUGCUAAAUCAAGACCAUGUUCUGUAGGGAAUAAGUGUCUCUUGAAAGCCACAUUGUAAGCGCAAAUUUCUUUGAAAAAUCUUUACUUGCACGGCAGAAAAUCUAAAAAAUGUUAAUAGCAAAUCUAAGAUUGCAUCCUUUGCAUUCUGGAUUCAGAGCCUGUCAAGAUUUCAAGCUUUGUUUACACAAGCACUGAUGUCUUAUUUGCUGGGUUUUUUUUAGAUGAAGACUGGUUUUUCUUUUGUACUUGACUCUGGUAAAUGAAAUGUAGGAAAACCACAGGCUGACUGUGAGGGCUAGAAGGACUUCGGGAGUGCUGCUUUUCAGCAGGUUGGGAGAUCAUUUGGUGCCUUAGAAUUAAGACUGUGGCUAUUCAGUAUUCUUUCAGGCAAAAGACAUUACUAAAUAUAAUAUCAAACUAUUAAAUAAGUGUGAUGGGG